GUUCCAAACAAACGAAAUGUUGAUCUGCCUUUUAUUAAUUUCAUUUUUUAUCUUCUUGUGUACAGACGUUUGACAGCUGUGACAUUCAUGGGCAAUGCAUUUGAAAAAGAAGACAUAAAUAUUCAGAGACAUAUUAGAAUGCUGUUCAAUGCUAUCCAGUCUGCUUACCUGUAUGUCAAGAAAAACUCUGCUAAGAACUUGAUGAGGGAAGAAAACUUCUGGAGGAGUCUACUUUUAUAAUAUGAUGAAAGUGAAGCUUUGAAAGAAAAAUAAAACACCUUUUCCAUGUCACCAUGAGCUAAGCACUGGGUAUUCAAAGACAGAUGGAAGGCAGCCUAUUUUCUAAAGAAACCAACACUUUCCUAAAGAAACUAUUAAAACUUUCUAUCAUUGUAUAAACCAAGGGGGUGUCAAAUAAAUCAAAUAAAAUUUGAU
rnacentral:lncRNA from 1 species